rnacentral:rRNA from 1 species
UGGGGAAUAUUGGACAAUGGGCGAAAGCCUGAUCCAGCCAUGCCGCGUGUGUGAAGAAGGUCUUCGGAUUGUAAAGCACUUUAAGUUGGGAGGAAGGGCAGUAAGCGAAUACCUUGCUGUUUUGACGUUACCGACAGAAUAAGCACCGGCUAACUCUGUGCUAGCAGCCGCGGUAAUACAGAGGGUGCAAGCGUUAAUCGGAAUUACUGGGCGUAAAGCGCGCGUAGGUGGUUCGUUAAGUUGAAUGUGAAAGCCACGGGCUCAACCUGGGAACUGCAUCCAAAACAGGCGAGCUAGAGUAGGGCAGAGGGUGGUGGAAUUUCCUAUGUAGCGGAGAAAUGCGUAGAUAUAGGAAGGAACACCAGUGGCGAAGGCGACCACCUGGGCUCAUACUGACACUGAGGUGCGAAAGCGUGGGGAGCAAACAGG